GAACGCAGCGAAAUGCGAUAAGUAAUGUGAAUUGCAGAAUUCAGUGAAUCAUCGAAUCUUUGAACGCACAUUGCGCCCAUUAGUAUUCUAGUGGGCAUGCCUGUUCGAGCGUCAUUUCAACCCCUAAGCACAGCUUAUUGUUGGGACUCUACGGCUUCGUAGUUCCCCAAAGACAUUGGCGGAGUGGCAGCAGUCCUCUGAGCGUAGUAAUUCUUUAUCUCGCUUUUGUUAGGCGCUGCCCCCCCGGCCGUAAAACCCCCAAUUUUUUCUGGUUGACCUCGGAUCAGGUAGGAAUACCCGCUGAACUUAAGCAUAUCAAUAAGCGGAGGA
rnacentral:rRNA from 1 species